rnacentral:tRNA from 1 species
GCCUUCUUAGCUCAGUUGGUAGAGCGCUGGUCUCAUAAUAUGACUCGGAAUAAUUCCGGGAUAUCCAGAGGUCGACAGUUCGAGCCUGCCAGAGGGCA